rnacentral:rRNA from 1 species
UACGAAGGGGGCUAGCGUUGCUCGGAAUCACUGGGCGUAAAGGGUGCGUAGGCGGGUCUUUAAGUCAGGGGUGAAAUCCUGGAGCUCAACUCCAGAACUGCCUUUGAUACUGGCGAUCUUGAGUCCGGGAGAGGUGAGUGGAACUGCGAGUGUAGAGGUGAAAUUCGUAGAUAUUCGCAAGAACACCAGUGGCGAAGGCGGCUCACUGGCCCGGUACUGACGCUGAGGUGCGGAAGCGUGGGGAGCAAACAGG